ensembl:snoRNA SNORA74 Small nucleolar RNA SNORA74
UCCAGCAGUCAUCAGCUGUCUGGGCAGAACGUUCCUGCGACGGUGUUAGACUGCUGGGAGAAGGGCCUGUCCUCUUCACCCAGUUGCCGCCUCACCGUUCUGGAGUGGGGGGCACUGGUGCCAGGCAGAGCUCUGCUUCCUUGAGAGUGAGCUUGGCAUUUGCCUUUGGGCUGCUUAGUUCUAGCCUGGGAGCAGACAGU